rnacentral:pre_miRNA from 1 species
CAUCUUACUAGACAGUGCUGGAUUUGCUGCCUCUACUCUAACACUGUCUGGUAACGAUGUU